AAAAAAAAUAUAUAACUUUUGUUAUAAAUUGUGUAGUGUUAUUAUUUCACUAGUUCUGUAACUGAAUGUAGUUUUAUUUGAAAGGGUAGGCUUUCUAGUUUGAAUUUCUGUAAAAAUUUUGAUUGAUUUAAAUGUAAUCUGGCGUCAGUACAUAGAGUAAAUUGCCUAAAUUCUAGCCUUUAUUCUUUCCCGGAAGUAGACAGACUGACCCUGUUGUCAAUAAAAACAAAAUUUUGCAACGGAAUGCCGGUCAUGAGGCACUGAGAUUGCACUUAGACACUUCUAAAUGAAUGCCUAACAUGAACCAGAAGUCCCAAGGUGGCUAUCAAAAUUAUUUAUUGAACAGGACCCUAUGUAUUUACUAUGAUUUUCAAUGCGUUCCAAUGGGGCAAAUAAUUGGGUCCCCGUUCCUGUCAGAGAGCAUGUUUUGAACAUUUUAAUCUGCAAUUGUCAGCUCAUUUUUGAAGUUUCAUGGAUGAAAUUUGGCUACAGGCUUCAAAAUUUAAUAAGGAAAACAAUGGUGUAAUUAUUUUUAAAAUUUGAAUUAAACUUUUUAAAUUAAAUUGAAAUUUAAAUUUAUGAAAUUUAAAAAAGUUUGUUUUUCAAUUUAAAGUUUAAAAGGGGGUCACAGAAAGGUCAUAGUUGUCUGUAAUAUGUAUUCCUACACUUGCAAGUUAAAAUGGAGGGAUUUUUGAAAAAUAUCAGCAAAUAGUAUUAGAAAAAGUCACAGGGAAAGAAAUAAUAAAUGUGUUAUAUGGGAUCAGGGGACAGUGAAAGAUGGAAAAUAUGGGCUUAUUUCUUUCUAAUAUCUUAUUUCUGGGACCUGGAAACAGAAAAUAAACCCAUAGUUUCAGUUUUAGGUUUUUAAUAAGUUUUUGAUAAAUUGUGGCUAUUAAAUAAAUCAUUUAAGUGCCACGGUUCAGUUAUGAAAGUUGUGUGCGAAUCCAGCUAACAUUUAUUUAGAGCCGCAUCACAUACAUAGCCACAUAUUAUUGUGUGAACUCAGAAACACUUGCCAGGGGCUCUCUAAUUUUACAUUUUUUGGAAGAUAUUUAAGGGGUAGGGCUAUAAUAUAGCUUAUACAAGCAAUUUAAACUCAAUGUACAACAAUUUAAGACUCCCUUUUAAAGAUUUUGAUGGUCCUUAAAAGGACCGUUAAUUUUAUCUGUAUCUAUUUCAGCAGUAAAUGAAUGGGAGCUAUAUCUUCCUUGGUUUUGGAACUUUUGGAGAUCUGCUUCUGGUUAAGGAAACACUUAGUGCUCUUUUAAUAGUUUCACUGUUUGAAUUUCAUUUUAAUUAAUGCUUCUUUCCUAAGUUUCAUUUUUAAAAGUUCCUGCAUUAUUAACUUGUCUUUGUUAUCUAUAUUCAGGUUGGUGAACUUGGACUAAAGUACAUGGAUCCCAGCCACCAACAGUUUCAGUGUCCAAGAGAACACACAUAUGAACUAGUGGGACAUUUAGAGCAGUCAAAAGUACAACAACGCACAGUAGCGUUAAGCGGUCAGGAAGAUCAAGGAUUUCCCUUCACAUCUGUUAAACUAUAGGAGGUGCUGUUUGACUGGUUUUAGCUACAAGUGAGAACUUCUCUGCAUCUAGCCUCUUAUAUUGUAUUUUAAAUGAACUUAGCAGACUAUUUGAAGACUUUGUCUCAUAUUUUAUACCAUUGUUAUGGGGUAUGCUUGUUUUGCAUAUGUAAUUCUUUAAAACAGAAGAUUUUUUUUUUUAAAAUUAAAGAUUUCAAGCUGAUUUCCAUAUUAAAAUCUGCAAUUUUAUCAAUGUAUUGAACUGAAAUAGUUAGGAUUUUUCUUUUGCUUGUUUGAUUUGUUUUUUUCUGGUUUUAGAACUUACUUUUAAGUUUUGAUUGAACUUCUGAUCUGCACUUCUAGCAUUUUUAUCUUUUUUUAAAUUUAAAGUCUUAUAUUGAUUAAAUAAAUUAAAGUUAAAUAGAACUUAGCAGACUAUUUGAAGACAUUUUUUGGAUUCUGUCUUUAAUAUUGAACUUAUUACAUGUUUAAAAAAACAUGUUUAUGGGGUAUUGCUUGUUUUUUGCAUAAUUCUUUUUUAAAACAGAAGAUUUUUUAAUUUUAAUUGAAAAAAAUAAUAUUUUUAAUUUAUUUUUAAACAAAUUUUGGUUUCAACUAGAUUUCCAUACAAAGAAUGAAUUUGUCUACCUUAUGCAAUUUACAGAAUGUAAAUAUCUCUUGAAAUAAAAAAGUUUUGCUGAUUUUUAGCAUAUUUUCUUCAUGAAUUUAAGAUUUUCUCCGAUCAAUUUUCUGGUAUUUGAGAUGUUAUAGAUAAGGAUCUAUAAUUCUGUAACUGUUUGAUCAAAUUUUUUGAAACUUUGCACAAUAACUACUGAGAUGUAUAUCUUUAUUUUAAAAGUGCAGUUUUAAGUCUGGGAAAAAAAAUAAAGUCUGACAGGAAUAGGAUCCCAGUUAGGGCAACCAGUCCGGUACCCACGAAUGUAGUUCUUAAAAAAAAUAUAUAACUUUUGUUAUAAAUUGUGUAGUGUUAUUAUUUCACUAGUUCUGUAACUGAAUGUAGUUUUAUUUGAAAGGGUAGGCUUUCUAGUUUGAAUUUCUGUAAAAAUUUUGAUUGAUUUAAAUGUAAUCUGGCGUCAGUACAUAGAGUAAAUUGCCUAAAUUCUAGCCUUUAUUCUUUCCCGGAAGUAGACAGACUGACCCUGUUGUCAAUAAAAACAAAAUUUUGCAACGGAAUGCCGGUCAUGAGGCACUGAGAUUGUACUUAGACACUUCAAAAUGAAUGCCUAACAUGAACCAGAAGUCCCAAGGUGGCUAUCAAAAUUAUUUAUUGAACAGGACCCUAUGUAUUUACUAUGAUUUUCAAUGCGUUCCAAUGGGGCAAAUAAUUGGGUCCCCGUUCCUGUCAGAGAGCAUGUUUUGAACAUUUUAAUCUGCAAUUGUCAGCUCAUUUUUGAAGUUUCAUGGAUGAAAUUUGGCUACAGGCUUCAAAAUUUAAUAAGGAAAACAAUGGUGUAAUUAUUUUUAAAAUUUGAAUUAAACUUUUUAAAUUAAAUUGAAAUUUAAAUUUAUGAAAUUUAAAAAAGUUUGUUUUUCAAUUUAAAGUUUAAAAGGGGGUCACAGAAAGGUCAUUUUGUCUGUAAUAUGUAUUCCUACACUUGUAAGUUAAAAUGGAGGGAUUUUUGAAAAAUAUCAGCAAACAGUAUUAGAAAAAGUCACAGGGAAAGAAAUAAUAAAUGUGUUAUAUGGGAUCAGGGGACAGUGAAAGAUGGAAAAUAUGGGCUUAUUUCUUUCUAGUAUCUUAUUUCUGGGACCUGGAAAAAAAGAAAAGAAAUCCAUAGUUUCAGUUUUAGGUCUUUUAAUAAGUUUUUGAUAAAUUGUGGCUAUUAAAUAAAUCAUUUAAGUGCCACGGUUCAGUCAUGAAAGUUGUGUGCGAAUCCAGCUCACAUUUAUUUAGAGCCGCAUCACACACAUAAGCCACAUAUUAUUGUGUAAACUCAGAAACACUUGCCAGGGGCUCUCUAAUUUUACAUUUUUUGGAAGAUAUUUAAGGGGUAGGGCUAUAAUAUAGCUUUAUAACAGCAAUUUAAACUGAAGUGUACAACAAUUUUAAGACUCCCUUUUAAAGAUUUUGAUGGUCCUUAAAAGGACCGUUAAUUUUAUCUGUAUCUAUUUCAGCAGUAGAUGAAUGGGGCUAUAUCUUCCUUGGUUUUAGAACUUUUGGACAUCAGCUUCUGGUUAAGGAAACACUUAGUGCUCUUUUAACUGUUUCACUGUUUGAAUUUCAUUUUCAUUAAUGCUUCUUUCCUAAGUUUCAUUUUUAAAAGUUCCUGCAUUAUUAACUUGUCUUUGUUAUCUAUAUUCAGGUUGGUGAACUUGGACUAAAGUACAUGGAUCUCAGCCACCAACAGUUUCAGUGUCCAAGAGAACACACAUAUGAACUAGUGGGACAUUUAGAGCAGUUAAAAGUACAACAACGCACAGUAGCGUUAAGGCGGUCAGGAAGAU
rnacentral:lncRNA from 1 species